GUCAACACGGCAGGGCAGAAUCCUGAUUUCCUUGACCAGCUAAUCGUAUCCGACGAAGCAAUUUUUAGCUUAAAUUCUGAAAUAAAUUCAAGAAAUGUCAUAAAAUACGCAGCAAAGGGGGACGGCCACCAGCCGGAUCAUUAUGUUGAAUUUUCUCAAGGCGCCGACCAAGUGAUGGUAUGGGUUGGAUUGGCAAGAACAGGUGUUGUUUUGGGUCCACAUUUUAUCGAAAGAAAUCUCGACAGCAGAGAAUACUUGAGAAUAAUUGGCUAUAACGUCAUCCAAAGAGAUUUUCUCAUCCACAAUAUCGAUAGGCAUGAUAUGUGGUGGCAGCAAGACCGCGCUCCAUGUCACACAAGCAACGCGACGAUGCGGUAUCUUCGAGGACAAUUUCCCGGUCGAAUAAUGAGCAAACGCGGCGAUUGGCCCUGGCCCCCACGCUCUCCUGAUCUGGCAAUUUGUGACUUUUUUCUUUGGGGCUAUCUAAAGCAAACAAUUUGGAACGUGCAGCUUGAUCAGCAGCCAAGGAAUCUUAGACAAUUGCGUGAGGCAAUCGUUUCUGCUCGCGAAUCUUUG